UCUCAGGCUGGGGGAGAAGCACAGACUUCCGUCGCCCGUACCCCAGAGCAUUAUGUCUAGGUUGACCAAGUCCCAAAGGUCAUACCAGCACAACCGUUCGCUCCUAUUCUGCCUGAGGUUAGGGCAACAGCUUUUGAGGGGGAGCAUCUCAGGCUCGAGAGGUACAAGAAGUGCAACCCUCCUACUUUCAGCGGCUUGGCAUCAGAGGAUGCCUAGUGUUUUCUUGAGGAGUACCACUGUAUCCUCUGUACGAUGGAUAUUAUAGGUCUAGUGGGGUUGCAUUCCCUAUGUUCCAGCUUAUUAUUGGUGGCAAGUGUAUGAGUUGGGUAGUCCUGCCGAGGUAGCUUCACUCACUUGGGCUUAUUUCUCAGGAGGGGUACACCUAUAUAUACCACUCAGGCUCUGCGUAUUCCACCAGGUCCUCAUGACAUGGUGACCGUACCAGUUGCUACUCCAGCUGCAUAGCCAACUAGAGAUGGAGGUCAGAAAGUAGAGGUCACCCUAUUGGGAGAGGCUAGGCCAAAUAUUAUGGUCUUCCUGCUAGGACGGAGGCAAUUGCAUCUGACUCACUCAUCAUAAGUAUUAUUCCGG
rnacentral:lncRNA from 1 species